GCCUCCAUAGUGAUUGGGAAAUGGUGGUGUGAGAUGGAGCCCUGCCUAGAAGGAGAAGAAUGUAAGACACUCCCUGAUAAUUCUGGAUGGAUGUGUGCUACAGGCAACAAAAUUAAGACCACAAGAAUUCAUCCAAGAACCUAACAGAAGUAUUUGUUGUAGAAAAAGGAAAACCAACUUGUGGAGAAUACAUUUUGAGAAUUUAAGAUAUCUUAUACAUUUACAAGCCAAAUGGAUCUCUUAUUUGCACUUCAAUUGGUUACCAGAUAAUCACAGUGUGCUUACUGUGUGUAAAGAAACAUCUCAUAAUAAGAAGACUCUAAGUUAUGGAAAACAUCUUGGAAAGUGGCUUUACAAAAGAGUUUUAUCAAUGAAAUUUUGGGGGAACAUGAAGAGCGAUCAACUAUCUUCUCAUUUGGAGCUACAGUUACUUUGUAUCACUUGAAAUAUAUGUAUAUAUAAUAUUUUGAAAUAUUAUAUAUUCUCUUCAAGAAAUUAACAGUACCACAAUGUGAGACGGCUGGUGUACCUCUUUCAGUUUGGAUGUUUUAUUGGUUUGGUUUGGUUUAUCAUUUCUUUUUCUCUUGGAGAGGAAGAUAGGUGCCCUUGUGAGAAUUCAACAUGGUACUGACCGUGGAAGGCCAGCUACAGGUGGACUCCUGGAAUAUGAGGCAUUGUAAUGAUAUUGGAAUUGAGAGCUUCCUUCUGUUUCUACCAGACGGCCCAAGGAAGCACACUGUCCUGUUUUAUUGCUUUCUACCCUGUGCAAUAUUAGCAUGCUAGCUUGGCUUACAUAACCAUACUUUAUAUUCAAUUGAUAUAUAAUAACCAUUCUAACCUCUUCCAGGAAAAUAUUUUUAGUACUAGCUUUUCCACAGUUAUAAGAAAAUGAGGAUUACCAAGGGAGCUGCUCCACCAUGCUAUUAAGACUCUGGCAGAGUUAUGGUAGGAUGUAGGUCCCUGUAUUAAUAAGUCCUGUAAAUACAUUGUCUUAGGGCUCUGUAUAGCUGUCCUAGACUGCAGAAAUGUCCUCUGAUUAAAUCCAAAGUCUGGCAUACUUAACUACAUAGUGCUGUAGCAACAAGUCUUAUCAUGGCACCUCUUUCUAUGUUUGAUUUGUUUUUUCCUAGAGAAUUCAGAUCUCAUCUGAUGAGAUAGGAAGACUAUGAAAGCAAUUAGGUUUCAUAAUGAUCUAUGUGACCAAAUGUUGGACAGCCCUAUUAAAGUGGUAAAUAACUUCUUU